UACAGAGGGUGCGAGCGUUAAUCGGAAUUACUGGGCGUAAAGCGUGCGUAGACGGUUAUUUAAGUCGGGUGUGAAAGCCCCGGGCUCAACCUGGGAAUUGCAUUCGAGACUGAAUAGCUAGGGUACGGUAGAGGGAAGUGGAAUUUCCGGUGUAUCGGUGAAAUGCGUAGAUAUCGGAAGGAACAUCAGUGGCGAAAGCGACUUCCUGGACCAGUACCGACGUUCAGGCACGAAAGCGUGGGGAGCAAACAGG
rnacentral:rRNA from 1 species